CCGGCGACCGGCGGACGGGUGCGUAACGCGUAUGGUAACCUACCUUUGACAGGGGGAUAACAUCGAGAAAUUGGUACUAAUACCCCAUAACAUCACCGGAGGCAUCUUCGGUGGUUGAAAACUCAGGUGGUCAGAGAUGGACAUGCGUUGUAUUAGCUAGUUGGUGAGGUAACGGCUCACCAAGGCGACGAUACAUAGGGGGACUGAGAGGUCAACCCCCCACAUUGGUACUGAGACACGGACCAAACUCCUACGGGAGGCAGCAG
rnacentral:rRNA from 1 species